rnacentral:rRNA from 1 species
AUUGAACGCUGGCGGCAUGCCUUACACAUGCAAGUCGAACGGCAGCACGGGGGCGAACCCUCGGUGGCGAGUGGCGAACGGGUGAGUAAUGCAUCGGAACGUGCCCAGUAGUGGGGGAGUAACUAGUCGAAAGAUUAGCUAAUACCGCAUACGACCUAUGGGUGGAAAGCGGGGGAGUUCGCAAGAACCUCGCGCUAUCGGAGCGGCCGGAUGUCUGAUUAGCUAGUUGGCGGGGGUAAAAGGACCCACCCAAGGCUUCGAUCAGUAGCUGGUCUGAGAGGACGACCA